GUAAGCCCCGUUCCUUUUUAUUUUUUUGCUUCUUCUUUAUUAAUAUUAUUUUUAUCGUUUGCGUUUGGGGUCUUAAAUCAUAUGAAUUUACUUUGAGAAGCACAUCUGACGGUAAAAGUUCCUAGAGCUGACCAAAGUCCUUUCUUGCCCGGGGAUCAGGAAACCCCUUUUUACGACUGACGAAGCUAACUGCCUUUACUUUGGCGGAACCUAAACCCUGGCCAAGAUACGCUCCCAAAUCUCCGACGUUUUAUCUCCUGUACUCCAUUUUCCGGAGUAAGAAUCUAUAUUGUAAGACCAGCUGCUGAGUUUAAUAAGUCAAAUUAAAUUCAUGAUAAAGAGACGUACGGAGAUUCAGGCUCUUAGUUUGUUAAAAGGUCGAAGCUUUCAAGUUUCAAUUGUCGAUUCCAUAAUAGAGUUUCUGGCAGCUGGCACCGGCGGCACAUCAUCGGAUUUGACUGCAGAUUUACAUACUCCAUCAGAAUGGACAGAAUCAAUUCACCCAGGUUAAUUUAAGUACCGAAAAUAAUCUGUUGAUUCAAAGAGUUGAAUAAAAAACUCCGUGUAAAUUCAUUCUGUCGAAUUGAUAUCCGAUAAAAGAUGGAAAUAACCGUCGUAUAAAAUUGUAGCAGAAAAAUAGCACGUGUAGAAAAAGAGAGAGACCUUCAGUACAUCUGAUAAAUUUUCAAUCGGGUAAAUUGUGAAAGGGUCUGCGGAACAAGGUUAAAAAUCGAUGCCUACGGCAAUCUGCUGUUGGAUGAAAGAGUACAAGAAAGAAGUUGGGUCUCAGGUAGAGCAGCGUUAUGUGAAUUUACCAGCAGAAGUCGAGCCAACUUGUGCAGUACUUGGCUGGGAAUCCAGGAAGACUACAACCAGAAGCAGAACCAGAAGCAGAACCAGGUAUAAG